GGAGGCGGCCGGCCGCGCUCAAGGCUCUGCUGCGGUAGUGCCUGUGAAUGGUGGUAGCUCCCUGUCAGCCCCGUCAUCCUCCCCCUUCCCCCGAAGGCUCUGGAAAAGGACUGUUUUGGGUAACUGCACUGAUUUAAGACAGUGAUUGAUGCCUUGAGAGGGAACAGGGAAAAUGGAUGAAAAACUGCAGUGUGCAUCCCGAUCACCUGCCUGUGGAAGGCUCUCCCAUCCAGUCUGAGCAUGCCCAG